UUGGGUUGCACCAGUAAGGGGACAUCCAAAACCGGCGGCCGUCCGUUUUCCGACCAAACCAUUUGGGGUCUAGUGUUGGAGUUGGCCUUAGUUAGAGAAGAUGAGAAAAUUGAUGUGCAACAAGGAGGUGGGUUGCACGGUUCUUUCAGACAGUCAAAUGAAAGGGUUCAUUGGUUUGAGCAGGGUCAGAAACUGGAUAUUCACUGAUAAGGUUGAGAUGUGCAUUCGAUUCCAGUCCCCUCAUAAUAUAAAAUCACACCAAACUUCCUGCAGCUAGGCAGUUCAACGACAGUAUACACAACAAGUCCAAAGCAGAUGACAUGGAAUACAUGCUAACGGUACAGGGACGACAUCAUAGAUGAUGGUGCACAAAAGUUCAACUUCUCAAAGAGGACUGGAAAUGAAAACCGGCAGUUCUGACAAUGCCCCCAGCAUAUAUUGCUAUGCUGUCUUCGCCAUGUUGUCAGGUCCCUGAGUGGAGACAUGAAUAAUGAGAUUAAUGGCCAAAGAAUAUUAACUAAACCAUAAAGAACGGCUAUGCCUUUGCUGGUUAGUUCAAGUUCUGGAAAUAGUGCAACAACAUCAAAAGAGCUACUCCCUCCGUUCCGAUUUACUCGUCGUGGUUUUAGUUCAAAUUUAAACUAAAACCACGACGAGUAAAUCGGAACGGAGGGAGUAUGAAGGAAACAAACAGCUCAUCAAUUGGAUUUUUCGUCUUUUGGCAAUUAGGCAUGUACUCCCUCCGUUCCGAAAUAUAGGUCUUUGUAGAUAUUCUAAUGUGGACUACAUACAGAGCAAAAUGAGUGAAUAUACAUUCUAAAAUGCAUCUACAUACAUCCAUAUGUGGUCCAUAGUGAAAUCUCUAUAAAGACUUAUAUUUAGGAAAGGAGGGAGUACAUGAUAGAAAAAAAACUGAGCAUAAUCCUAAAAGGAGCAACGGUAGGGUGGCAGAAAUUAUGAAAUAACACAUGCUGGGAGCAUAUACUUUCAUUUCUAAUAAUGCAUCCUUCUUCGCUAUACUUCAAAUGAGAAGUACCAAGAGUUCAAAAGCAUUGGUAGUCAUCUAUCAUAAAUGACACGAGUGCUUAAAUCAUCAUGAACAACAGCAGCAAAGCCUUUCAGUCAGUCCCAAAACAAGUUGGGCUGCAGUGUUGACAUAUCCAAAAGUCCCAACCAGGAGAGUACAGAGAGAACGCGUGAACAUGCCCGCGACGGGCGACCCCGCGGUGCCGACGCCGGGCUGAUCUCCUUCCUCCGGCCUCCCCUGCCUCCGGCGGCCCCGGAUCCGGAAGCUCCGCCCCGUCCGCUCGCCGCCCAUCCGAGCUUUGCUCCUCGCCGUGCUCGGGUAGCCCGUGAGGAAGCUGUAGGAUCCCGCGUCCGCGACGGGCCCCAUGUCCGCGGCGGCUGCGCCGUCAUCGUCGGCCGCUCCAGCCCAGCCGCUCACCGCCCCUGCUCUGGCCGCCGCACUCGCCGCGGCCUUCCUCGCCGGCCGCAAGGCUGGACCGGCCGUGCAGGGGCGCCUCGUCUCCGCGCCGACCAGCCAACCUCCGCCGCCUGCCGAGAGGAUGAGCUCUCGCGACCCUGACCCCGCGCCCCUUCUCCAGCCCCCGCUGGCGGCGGCCACCUCGGUCCCACCGGCCACCCUGCCAGCGCCUCCGACCCCUCGCCCGCGGCCACUGCCUCUAGUCUGUCGGCUCCGGGUGGAGAACGGCGCGCUCUCCCCGAAGGCUGCAGCGGCUUCCACUCCGGCUGCACUGAUGAGCUCUCUGGCUCAGCCGCCCGCCGCCCCCGCCAGCCUUGCCGGCGCCGCCUUCGACCGGCUGCUGAAGCCACCGGCGACGAGCCCCAUCGGCACCCCACCGCUCGAUCCGGAUCAGGCGGAUCUGGGUCCCGUCUCUCGGCCGGCUCCGGCUGUGCUCAGCUCGAGGCAUGUCCCCCGUUGCUCCUUCAUCGACGGCGAGGGGGGAGUGGUGGCUUCUCUGGACGCAGUACCUACCGCUUCAGCUCCGCAAGCCGUUGUUGCAAGCGACGGGCUCGUCGUGCCUCCGGUGCGCCCGAGCCGUGGAGACUGGCGAGGAUGUUUCGACCGGGUGGUGGCGUCGACAGUUCCUGUGGCUCCAUGCGAGAAUGCGUUGGGGGGCUGGCAGCUCAUCUCGAGAGAGCGCCGCUCGGCUCCUGCUGCUUUCCAUUGCCCUGUUGUUAAUGUGCGACGUCCCCCUCCGGCGUGGCUGAGAGACAGGUGUUUCCGAUGCUUGUGUCGAGGUCAUCGGGCAUACUCCUGUAGGGAUCCAAUUCGAUGCACGGAUUGUCUUCGAUCCGGCCACAUCGCCCGCUUCUGCCGUGCUAAGAAGCAUGUUCUCCAAGCUUCGUCGCUCCAAUGUCCUACUCCAUCACCUGCAUCCACCAGUGACAUCUCCAAGACAAAUGUGCAGUUCCAGUCUAUCUCGACUGAGCAAGUCGGGUUGGUGGAGGAGACAGAGCUGCUUCGCAUUGAGCUUUAUGACUGCCUUGCGCAAGUGGGGAGUGUUUUGGGGAGGGCGAAGGCCGCUCUCGCCAAACUAGAGGUGGUGCCGGAUGUGUCUUUGCUGCCUGAGCAUCAGAUUGGGCUUGUGCCAGAUGUGUCCCUACUACCUGAGAUCCAAGUUAGUUUUGCCGAUGGGGAAGCAUGCAUGUAUGGAGAUCUCUCCCCUCGUGCUACAUCCUGUCGGUUGCCGUUGCCUGUCGUGCCAAUUGCUUCUUGGGGUGAAGCUGUUGUCAAGGUCGUGGCUCCGAUGCUGCAGAUUAUGCCUGAGCUGCAGAAGAUUUGUGGGGAGCCUACUUCGCCUAUUCGAUGGUGCUUCCUAAGGAGAUGGGGUCGCUUGUAGGGUGCUUAGUGUUGCCAACUGCGACCUCACCAUCGUCGAUGGAGCCCAUUCAGCCGCUCGACUUUAUGGACAGUGGAGGUUUGGAUGCUGCUAUUGCUCUCUCACCUGAGGUUAUUGGCCAGGUGGCGUCUGUGGGUGCCGAGGAUGAUGAGGUCGGUCCUUUGGCACCUAAUCCUGAGGAGCUGAAACCCAUCCGGUCGCCCAUCUUUGACUGUGAUGCUAUGUUGGCACGUAUUGACGAGGUGGUCUUUGUGAAAAAGCUUGGCCGCUUGCUCGCCUCCUUGGAUGCAACUUGUCCUGGGUCUGGCAAGGCGGUUGCUUGCCUCCUAGUGGAAGAGGGUUCUACGGGCAAAGUAAAGAAGGUGAAGAAGGCUCUCAGGGCCAUAGGCAAGAAGAGUGGCGCCAUUGGUAAAGCGUCAGCGGCUGUUUGAUGGAAGAUACUCAGUCCCGCCAUCCUCCAUCUCCGUCUGGCAUCUUCGUGGAUUUGGUGACGUCCGAUGUAUUCAACCUUGGUUCCGUUGGGAGUCUCUUUGAGACAUCGAAGUGUGAGGGUCUGUUUUGUUACAUGUUAUGCCUGUUUGUCGGGUUGACCGUGGGGUCAUGGAGUUUGUUCUUUAGUGAGUAGUCUGCAUGUGGUCUAUAUGUAUUGGUUUUCGCCCGGUUUUCCGUUAAUUAACUGGGCAAUUCUCUUCUUCUUAAUUAAUCGAUGAGGCAAAGCUUUUGCCUCCGUUUCGAAAAAAAAACAAGUUGGGGAAAUUUGGAAACUAUUGCCCUUACACUUGAUAAUAUGUCAAUACCAUGCUAAUCCACAACGUGAUAGGAAAGAACAAAUGCAAAAAUUUAGAUCCAGGCACUAGGUUGAUCAACUAAAUAUUCAUUGACCAUGCAGAAAACAUGCAACUGUGCAGAUUGUAAGAAUAUACUACAUAUAAAUCACUGAGGAUACUACCGAGAAUUGAGAUUAAACAUUACCUAAAUCAAAUCAAAUUUAUCUAUAUACCUAAGGGGACACUCAAACCAACUGACGCCUAGCAGGUACAACGUAUUUCACCCUUCCCUUGCCAUCCUCUCUCUUGGCCAAACUAGCAUCCUCUCUUUUGGU
rnacentral:lncRNA from 1 species